ACAGAGGUCUCAAGCGUUGUUCGGAAUCACUGGGCGUAAAGGGUGCGUAGGCCGCACGGCAAGUCAGAUGUGAAAGCCCGGAGCUCAACUCCGGAAUGGCAUCCGAUACUGCCGUGCUCGAGGACUGAAGAGGAGUCUGGAAUUCACAGUGGAGCAGUGAAAUGCGUAGAUAUUGUGAGGAGCACUAGUGGCGAAGGCGAGACUCUGGACAGUUCCUGACGCUGAGGCACGAAGGCCAGGGGAGCAAACGGGA
rnacentral:rRNA from 1 species